GAAAGAAUGAGAUGAGUAUGAAUUCCACGAAUCAAUCUGACCUGUAGAACCACAGUUUUGCUUUCUCCAAGAAAUUUGGUUCGGUGAAUGCCACCCAACCACCAACCAUUACAGGCGUGCAUACUUGCUUGCAACAGAUUCAGAGGGAUGAUCCAAGCUCAUGGCUUCAUAGUUUCCAGUAUUUCUUCACACACUCUAAAAUUGGAGCUUUUUGCCAAAGAUGUGUAAAAAACAAAAAACUAAUUCCCAUUUAUGUGUGCACCGAAAAGAAUUUUAGCGCUGAUGCAGAAUUUGUCAUCUCAAUUCUCAAGCCAGCUUAUAAUUUUUCCCUCUUGAUCUAAGGUUGACAUGCGCUUGCCUCAGACAGCCAAGGGAAACAAGCUCUGUUUUAGGCUUAGAGGUAAUCACAAUGAAGAAAAUCAACGUUGAGUUAAAAUGGCAUUUCUGAAAUGAUAAU
rnacentral:misc_RNA from 1 species